ensembl:lncRNA
GAGUCCUUAAUUGAGACGUUGAAUUAAUUAGACGGUAAAUGGUGUCAGGAUCCUGUGGCAGGUCACCAUGCCACAGAAUGAGAUGGAGGGACAGAUACCCAUUCAGAUGACACAGAGGAAAGUAUGUGAGUGUGUGUGGGUGUGUGUGUGUUUUGUGUGUGUGUGAGAGCGUGUGUGUGUGUGAGAUUUUGUAUUUGUACUGAAAUUGCAACUAUGUGGUAAAACGCUAACAAUAAUCCAUCUUUGCAAUAUCAUAUUGCCUGAAUCUAGUCGAAACUAAUAUAUAUAAUCCAUCUUUGCAGUAUCAUAUUGCCUGAAUCUAGUCUAAACUAAUUGUGAAUAUAGGUAUGACUUAGUGGUCAACAAUGUGGUAUUUCCCUACACAAUCCAUUUAUUUUAGGUGAGAUAUAAUUCGCUUCAUUAACAGUAUAGUAUGUCUUCCCACAUAAAUAAUUAGCCCUGACUGCUACUUUAUAUGUUAGCGUGAUUCCACUCUGAUCUCCUGCUACUCACUAUCCCAGUGAAAGCUGAGGUCAUGACCUGGCCUACUUCUGGUCCUGAAGCAUACGGCAAGCUAGAUUGGCUUCUUCACCUUGGUAGAUCUAUGAUUAAGAAAUUCAUGUCUUAGGGAACAUUGAGAUCCCUGGCCAAAAGGUAAUGAGGAGAUCUGGAGAGAGGAUCUCGGAAUGCCAACAGACAGACACUCCGCUGUAAACAAACAACUACAGUGGCAGAGAUCUUUACCAAAGAAAGAUGAACACAGAUGGGGAAGAUGGAAAGUGUUGGACGACCUGGAGUCACAUGUGGUCUCUAGAGGUGAGAGUCGAGAGGGAAAUGACAUCACACACCCUGCUCUCUAGUUUGAGACUAUGCAAAUGCUAAAAUGGAAGCUGUUGGACCUCUUGCUAGAAAUUAUGAUGAUCAGCUCUCUGGUCUGUAGUCUGAGCGUUUAAGUCGUUAUUAGUAGGCGAUACAAAGCUGUUGGCUGACAUAUAAUGCUAUGAUGGCUGUGAGCUUUCAAAUGCUAAAGAGCAGAGCCAUUGGAGAACAUGUGUUAGCAUGAUGAUCAUCUCACUGGUAAGCCUGUGAACAUUCAAAUGCUGGAUAAUAGGGGAGGGGGAAGUAGUUGGAUGACAAGUUAAUAAUAUAUGAUCUCUAAGCCAAAGCUAAUUAGGGCGGAAAGCAGACCCUGUUGGAGAGAAAGUGUUAAUAUGAUGAUCAUCUCACUGCUAUUCAGCCUGUGACUAUGCCAAUGCUAAAUAACAAGGAAAGUGAAAGUUAUUUGAUUACACAUUUUAAUGUGCAUUGGCCUGAAACUGUAACCUGUGAGUAUUUAAAGAGUAAUUGGGAUGGAAAGCGGACUCUGUUAGAGAACAUGUGUUAAUGUGAGGAUCAUCUCACUGCUAUUUAGCUUGUUAGCAUUCAGGAGACAAAUAGCAGGUGAAGCGAAGCUGUUUACUUCUUUACCAGCUAUCCCACAGUGUCACAUAUAAGGAGUGUGGGAGCGCUUCCUGUUUGUGGUGGAGGGGUUUUGGCACAGCGCUCGGGAAGUUUGGCAUGGCGUGUGGUUCUGCCAUCUGUGAGGCAUCCGCUGCCGUGCCCUCUGCACUGUGUUCCACAUCACCUACACAAUGCCCCCACGUCCCUGCACGGGCACUUCCUGCUAGCGCAGUGUGUGUGUACACACAGAAAAGCUUCAAAGGUGCAAUAUGUGAGGUUUUAUUGUGAGUCAAAUAUGCUGCUAGAUCUGGCGCCACCACUGAGUUCUAUAGGCAGAAUGAACUGUUUACGUCCUGCUCCUUCCUGUUUAAUUUUAGUUUUGUUUCUUUUCGACUUCCCCUCCUAACUAAUGUGACAAAGACAAAAGAGCAUAUUUUCUUCAUGCCUAGGAUUGUAACACUACUACAGGUCUAAAGCAGGUCUCAAACCAGUCUUCAACAACACCAUCUACAGAUAACACUUUUCUGCAUAAUGGCAGAAAAUUUGAUUUAUUUUUUACACCACUGUUUGUAUGAAUAAGUAUAUUAUAAAUGAUAUAUUCAUUUGAUGCCACAUUUAUUUACAAACAUGAACAAAUUGUUGAAAAUGAUUGAAUGAAGUAAUGUUAGUGUUGUAGUUUGUUGUUUCCUGUAAACUGAUGCAUAAAGCUUAGGCUACUACAAAGAUCCCCUAACCUAAUUGAUCGCAUUAGUUAUCCUGAAUAAAAUACAUAUUAUACCAAUAUUAUUAUUUAUGGAUGUUAAUCACCAAAUGUAACUACUGGAAGGAAAGGAAUCCUUCAUUUAUUACUGGAAGUACAAUUCAUUCAUUUAUAAGAGCUGCUCUAAAAGGUUCCUGUUUCAGAAAGUCUGCGAUUGUUUGAUGUUUAGCAGUGUCCUUUGAGAGCCAAACCAUUGAUCUACGUGCCGUAGCGUUGUCUUGGCCCUGCAGUUCUAGUGAGCACUCACUCUCAAACUCAUGUUAGUGUGCAGAGCUCAAGGAGCACGCCCCGUAUGCUAAAAUAGCAAAGCUAAACAGGAAGUUUGCUCGAGCUUGACCUUGUUUGACUUCUUCCUGUGGUGUGUGAGGUCUGCUGAAGGCCAUUCUGAUAGCAGUCAACUCUGGAAUGGACCCCCGCCAGAUCCGUUCCAACUGAGGGUUCCAUUUGAACAUGUAAUAAUCGACUUAAGCGACCGUUAUGAAUGACAGCCAAUGGAAAUUCUAGAUCUAUGCUGUAUAAUUCUGGAAUGAGUUGCACAAAAAAAAAACUCACUCCUCAAAGAGCUAGAAUCAGGCCAGCUUGAUUUGUGAUUGCACACAUGGUGGCCUUUCUCUCUCUCUCUCUUUCUCCCCUUUUAUCUGAAAUAUACUGACCCACUAAAGACUGAACCCUUCUUAAACAGGGGGGGGGGGGGGGGGGGGGGGUCUGCACUAGGGCUGUUUGUGACCUGGGUGAGCUGAAGAAGAGCACAUAUCUCUCACAGACACAUGAAAACACAUGAAGAUGUAAUCUUGUCCGAAGUUAAAAGUCGUGACAAGUAAAUUGUAACAUGGUUGUCAUGCUGUUCUCACCAAUGGAACAGUUGCUGUUCAUUUUGAUAAUAACAAAAAUUGUUCAAACACAAGAAAACAAUGUGAUAAUUCACUAUUAACUAAAAAACACUAUAGACAAUGUUAGAGCAGAAAUGUAUUGCUGCUUUACACUUUGAACGUACUGUCAUGAUUGCUUAAUUAUAGGCUGUUGUUUUGUGUUUGCCUAACCAUGAUUGUGUAUCAGGGUACUUAAGCUAAGCUCCAGGCAUUGUAACCGACUGCAAAGGUUAAAGCGAUUUGAGCGUCUGCACAUAUUGUUUCUGAUUAAUCAAUGAGGCCAGUAUGUUUAUCUCUGAGUGGAUAUCUGGGCCUGGCCUUGACUGUAAUCCAUUGAGAGUGUUUAUGCGCCCAUAUUUCCUGAUAAAAGCACCCCGGCUUUGUUCCUGGUAACCACAACCACACAGGGGGGGGACGGGGGGGAGGGACGAAAAUAGCAGGAAGCAGGAAUGGCGUGCCGGAGAAAAAUAUCUAGUAACGUGACGGGUUCAUCUGAGGAGACGAGGGGAGGAGGAAGUAGUCUAAUUUUUUGCCCUGUCACUCCACCCUCUGUUAGAAACUCCUCUCUUCUCCUUGCUUCUCGUUACAUUACAUUAGCGCCCUCCCCCUUGGACUGUUUGAACUUUGAAAAACACAGAGGAAAACUGUUUAGACUUCACCUGUUUUGAUUUGGAUUUGUGAUAUAUUGUUCAAAAAAUGCCUAAGAAAUGCCUGUCGCAACUUAUCAUAACAAGAAAAGGGUUAUAUGACACUGAAAAAAGCUCAUUUGGUAGGUAGGUAGUUUGGGUUUAUGGUUGGUUCAGAAGUCGGAGUGGUGAUUCUUUCUUUUGGAAACACAAUCUUGAUAUGGAGCUCGCGAUCACAGGACAUAAUCGUAAUCAGUCCGAUCUGGUUUAGACUGGUUUUCAAGCACGUCCAUUUCAAAUUGGUUCAUAUCAGUUGAAACGGCUCAGACUGAUUUUAGCAGUCACCCAUAUCAACCUACUAGCACAGUUGCGCAUUAAAAUAAAAACGUAUAAUCUGAAUAUGGAUUUUAUUCUGUAUGUUGAACUUGUAAUACAUUUGAUUUCAUUUUUAGGGAUUUUAUGCUUACAACACUGACGACAGACAGCUUUAAAGCUAGUUAAAGUUGAAGCCACUUUUAAAGUACUGGUCCGAUGUGUUAAAUUUGGUUUAACAUACAUGUAGAAUAAAUAGCAGGAUAUCAACACAAUAUCAAAUGUGGCCCUAGAAUUCAUAAUCUCAGGGACACCGUUUGGAGAAUGAUUUUCAGCAAUAUUAAUAUUUUUGUUGUCGUCAAAUUGAUACCUGAAAGUUCGGGGGUUUUUUUGAGGGAGGGAACAAGUUUGUACUGUACUCCACUACAACACCACACGAAGAUAGAAGGAGUCAAAAGACAGUGUUUUUGCUGCUUAGGCAGCAAGUUUGUUAUCUGAAAGUUAAUCCUUGUUCCAGCUUGUGGAAAAUGACUUGGGCAUUUAUCUAGAUGCUUGUUUUUGGGGCCUUGGGAAUAGAAGUCAUGGUCCAUCUUAAGAUCAGUCUCUCUCCCUUCGCCUCUAAACGAUAACGCACUUAUUUCUGAGCAGAAGUCGGCUCUCAUACGAGCACAUUUAGCCAUGAAAGACACACGCUAGUCCUCCCCUUUUCUCGACCUGCUUUGCGUUCCGCAUACGCUCUGGAGUCUGUGGAGCAGGACUCUGAACCUAUCACUAUUGUCUGGUCAACUUAUCGCUCUCCUUUUGGACAUUCACACAACAGUUUUGACUGUAUCCCACACUGACGGAAUGUCUGUCUGAAAAUCAAUACGGUCAAUAUGGUUGUGUGGCAUAAAUGCAACAAGUAGGGGAGAAAUGGCGCAGGGUUGGGCAGACACGUGUACACGAUGAAGAUGAGGAUGAGGAGGAGCGGAGGCAUGAGGAAGAGUAGCAGGAUACUAGUGAAGGAGAUAUCAGUAAAAAGCAAACAACGAAACAAAAUAAGGCAUUACAAUAAAAGUGUGUGAGUUCGGGUGGAGAUAAAAUGUGAAAAUACCUGGCGGGCGUCGUCUACAAGGCCGGAGUGGCGAGUGCGAAGCCUCGAGGAGCGGAGGGGAACGAACGGGCAGCAAUGGCGAAAAAAAGCUGGUGAAAGGAAAAGAGAAAAAAAGGGGCAGCAGGGAGAAAAAAAAAGGAGGAGAGGAGCGUCCGUUUCCACGUUGGGUUGAGUGGCGGCUGGCGGGACAAGAAAGAGACAGAGGUACGCUGGGAAACAAGCCCAGCGGAGAAGAGGGCAUGAGCUGGCAUCGCCCCCCUGCCCACAGGUCUGGCCGUGCCCCCCUUCGUCCCUGCCCAGAUUGGCCAUGCCGCCAAAACAAAGAGAAGAAGCGAGAGAACUAACGAACGAAUGAGCGAGGGAGAGGAAAGGAGAGGAGAAGAGGACAGGAGAGAGUGCGUGUGAACCGCAGGCUGUGGCAGUCGGUUGGUGUCUUUUUGUGGUGAUAGUGGAAGCAGGCGGCUCACUGAGUAGUUUAGCCUGUUUGCUUCGUUUGGGGACGGGGGCAGACGGGGAGGCUUAAACCCGCUCACCCUCUCAGGCCCGAGGGGGGGAGAAGCAGAUUCCCUCCAAAACACAACAAGACGUUUCAACACAACACACCCGCACUGCCUCACCACCCAACCAGAGCGGCCAAAACACACACAAGCAGACAAGAAAGAAAAAAACACACAAAACACACACAGCAGAAAGCCAAGCAUGACUGAAAAAAAAAAAAAAACAGAAAGCAAAAACAAGAAAAUCAAAUACUUACUGAAAUGUCCUACAUCUGCUGUCAACGGCCAACAAUGACAGCGAUCUCCAGGACAAUGUUGGGGGAUUGAGAGGCGUCCAGGAGCCAGGGCUUGACGGCGACUCUGUGUGAGGAGUGUGCGGCGGAGGCUUUUGUCAGGAGCUGGCAUCUGGCCCGGGUGCUUCAUGCCUGACGCGGCUCUGCCUCUGGACUCCUCAGUCUGUCCCUCCUGCCUGCCUUUAGCUGUUCGCGAGCUGCCUGCCUUUAGCUGUUCACAAGCUGCCUGCCUUUAGCUGUUCACGAGCUCCCUGCCUUUAGCUGUUCACGAGCUGCCUGCUUUUAGCUGUUCACGAGCUGCCUGCCUUUAGCUGUUCACGAGCUGCCUGUGUGGGGUUUGGUGCUCACUUUGGCUCUCGUUCUCUCCCCUCAGCUGAUGACAAUAAGUGCUGGAGGGCGUCUCAUCUUGUCUCGGCCACCGGUCAGCUGGAUUUCAGGCAGAAAAAAAAAAGAAUCUCUUUAAAAGAAUAUCAUCCUAAACUCGAACCCCUUCGGAAGAAGGUACAGUCUGGACGCUCGCAGAGCAGGUGACAGCAACGGAGUCUCACUCUUACACGAGGGUUCAGCUUUCAAUGAAUCCAUCUUGAGCUCAGUCAUUUCAGUUUGUGAAAAAAACAAAAAACAGAAGAAGCAGAACAGAAGAAGCAGAACAGAAAAGUUGAGCCUAAAAAGGAAGGACGGGGAAAAGAAAGUUGAACUUGUGGACCCCGCUGGCGAGAGAUGGGUCUGAUAAAUCCAGUCCGAGGGGAGAGGAGGCACGCGCCCUCCCACCAGGCCUCCCUCAGACAGGGGGAGGGAAGGGGAGAAAUAAUCCAACGUCCUCCGGCGAAAAAAAAAAGCAACAAAAAAUGCUAGAGGAUUGCAGGCAGCGUGGUCGCGGGUGACACAGCGAGCAGAGCAGAGCAGAGCAGAGCACUGCUGCAGCCUCGUCCUCCCUGUCUCUCUUUUUUCAGGCACUGUCCUGGGCAGCACUCUGUGUGACGUCACACACACACACACACACACUCGCACACUCCCCCCAACUCUGUUAUGUGCUAAUUUAUUUCUCUCCAGAAGCAUCCUAUCCAUCUGCAAACAAGAGGAGAGAAAGAGAGAGAAAGAGAGAGAGAAAGAAAGAAAGAGAGAGAGAGAUCCCCAAGGCUGUUCAAAAGAAUCACGUGGGAGGUGGUGCACAGGCUGCAAAAGCUCCAUCUCAACCCCUCCAGUCAUGUGUCACUGGAUCUGAUGAUGGGUCCAAUCAGGCCGAGGCAAGGGUGACAUGACCCAGUGGGCCCGGGAGGCGGCCAAGCCCAGACGAAAUACCCCUCGCUAUGUGUCUGACGCCCAUGCUUGAAGACACAGGCUAACAGACUCGGACCCAGUGCGGGAUGGACAAUGUGAUUGCAUUUGGGGAGGUAAGUGUUUAACAAGGAUGGAUGUUUACCUUUGCAUCAUUGCCCCAAAAGUUAGAUAAAAGUUACACUUACAUGCUGAGAGAAAUGGGAGGCAGGUCUAGCUUUGAUAUACCGAAGACGCUGACGGUGCACAGAUAAUGCUAACUAACACACAGCAAUCACAGCAUUACAAAUGGACGAAAUACCCCUUGCAUGUUACACAGCCCCCACCCAGCGGGUUAGUUGUCCCCAACUACCCAAGCAUUUAGUUGAGCACGAGCUCUCCCUGCUAUAUGUCAGCAAAGUUGGGGUAGCUAUGUUGGACAUACAGGCAAAGAUCAGCAGCACAGGUGGGGUAGCUAUUCGAAUCAGAAUCAGAUCAGAAUCAAAAUCAGAAUCAGAAUAGUAUUUAUUGCCAAGUAUGUUUACACCUACCUGGAAUUUGUUCUGGUGUAUAGGUGCAUACAGUGAACAUAAAACAUACUAACAGAAUAAGUACUACACAAACACAAUAAGUACUACCAUACAAAAAGCAGGGCAGGAGUGCAAAAUUGGAUGUGCAAUGUGCAGUGUGCAAUGUAGUGUGUCUAUGCUGGACAUACAGGCGAAGAUCAGCAGCACAGGUGAUCAGCAGCACAGGUACCCAGGCUCUAUUUCUCAGACCCCAUGCAGACGAAGCCUAGUUUGCCUGAACCCGGGUUCAUUUUUCACACAUAUCAACUUUUUAAAUCGCGUGCACAUGAACCCAGCGAAUCCGAUUGACUCAGCUGUAGUACAUCCCCCACGCCUGUUGGUGGCGCUUUGGUGCUACAGACAACUGAAGAAAACGGAGAAGAAGACAGGAGCAUGCUAUCAAAGUCAUAGACAUAUAUAUGUCUAUGAUCAAAGUAACAUAUGACAGUAGUUGAGCUCCAACUAGCAACGUUUAGCUUAGCCGCAUAGCCUACAUUUGAUCUGCACAGUAACACAUUAUGGUGGUUUAUAAAAUCAGUGGUAAGAGCAGACUGUAGGUUAAGCGAAAAAUAAUUGUAUUUGUUAUUGAUAAUAAAGAGUUUAGAACAGUGCAACAUGACAUGUCUGAGUUGUUUAAAUGCCUGUGCUUUAUGGAGAUGCUGAGCUUGAGCACGAGAGACCACAAUGCAAGUGCUGUGGAUCCUGGAUGUUUCAUGGUUUACAAUUGCUUCCAAUUUCAUGGUUUUAUUACUAACAACAAAUGUAGGGUAUUGUUGAGGGCUUUGUCCUUCACGUACUGUAGGCUACCUCUGAAGUAACGUUAACGCUAGCUAGUAGCUAUCGCUAUCGUUGUCUGACAGGACUAAAGCUAACGUAGCAUUCAUCUGUUUUGAAACUUCCGUCUAUAAUACAAAAUCUAUUCACGUCAGAUUUGCUCAUAUAGGCUAUUGCCGACACUUUUAAAAACUGGUUUUUGAAAAAUGGUCUGAUGCAAAUAGAUUAAACAGUGAAAGAUUAAAGUGUGGCUUGUUAAUGUCAUCCCUUUCCUAACAACAGAUAGAUAGAUACAUUUGUAUUAAUCCCGUUAGGGAAAGUCACGUGGAAAAGGAGCAAGGUAAUAGGA